UACGGGGGGGGCAAGCGUUGUUCGGAAUUACUGGGCGUAAAGGGUUUGUAGGUGGCUUGCUAAGUCAGACGUGAAAUCCCUCAGCUUAACUGGGGAACUGCGUCUGAGACUGGCAAGCUCGAGUGCAGGAGAGGAACGCGGAAUUCCAGGUGUAGCGGUGAAAUGCGUAGAUAUCUGGAGGAACACCAACGGCGAAAGCACUCUGCUGGGCCGACACUGACACUGAGAGACGAAAGCUAGGGGAGCGAAUGGG
rnacentral:rRNA from 1 species